UUGAACGGGGUAUGGUAGCAGGUGCCUUUGAACGGGGUAUGGUAGCAGGUGCCUUUGAACGGGGUAUGGUAGCAGGUGCCUUUGAACGGGGUAUGGUAGCAGGUGCCUUUGAACGGGGUAUGGUAGCAGGUGCCUUUGAACGGGGUAUGGUAGCAGGUGCCUUUGAACGGGGUAUGGUAGCAGGUGCCUUUGAACGGGGUAUGGUAGCAGGUGCCUUUGAACGGGGUAUGGUAGCAGGUGCCUUUGAACGGGGUAUGGUAGCAGGUGCCUUUGAACGGGGUAUGGUAGCAGGUGCCUUUGAACGGGGUAUGGUAGCAGGUGCCUUUGAACGGGGUAUGGUAGCAGGUGCCUUUGAACGGGGUAUGGUAGCAGGUGCCUUUGAACGGGGUAUGGUAGCAGGUGCCUUUGAACGGGGUAUGGUAGCAGGUGCCUUUGAACGGGGUAUGGUAGCAGGCGCACUGGUUUGUGUCAAGAACUGCAACGCUGAUGGAUUUCACACUCAACAGUUUCCCGUGUGUAUUAAGAAUGGUCCACCACACAAAGGACAUCCAGCCAACUUGACAAUGUGUUCAACACCUUGUAGAGUCCAUGCCCCAAUGAACUGCGGCUGUUCUAAGAGCAGGUUCUUCAUGUUUUGUGAAUUCAGUGUAUGUACAUUCCAGAGGUGUUGAAAUGGAUUUGGAACAGUCUUACAUUCUCUUCAUUGUUCUUUGUCUCCAAUAGACUUUAUAAAGCGCUUCUGCCCACUAGUGGUUGAAAUACAGACUGGAGUCACAGAUCGUCAGAACAGUCUCCCAUCACCCCUCCCUACUCAACAACCGGACCAGGAACGGGGGAAAUACUGGCCGCGAUUCAAGACUAAAAAUACAAAAAAUGUGGGCGAACUCAGUCGGGCUUCGACCCCUAGUAUCAUAUGAACAUACAUAAGACAUGGACAACUGUGUGGAAUUGCCAACAAAAGGUGUGUAAACAUUUUUGGAUAGCAUGGUUUGCAAGGGGUGGGUGUUUUACUACACCGAUACUUUUCUAUAUCCAUUUGGAUCUUUGUCAAAUACUUCACCCCGGCCGGCUCUAUCGGUUUCAGAGUUCCACUCAGACUGUAGUGCCACCAUGUGGCGAGAAAGAGCAUAGCCCAUAUUAAAAUGUCAUACAUUAUUUAUUCAAUGCUCAAAGUCAGCCACCACAUUUCAAUGGAGGACAGGUUCAAAAUCACAUCUCUAUAAAACAGAAUAAACUUCAAACAAAGAUACUACUGCAGUGACAGUAAGGUAUUUUCAUUGAUAAAGCAAUAAAUAAUGCAAUAGUCUGUCAAACUCAAAACAAAAACACUAACAAUCAAAGUAAACAGUGGAAUUACCUUUCCACACCCAAGACAUUUCUUCAAACAGCAUGGUUCUCCAAAUGGUUCAGACACAGCAUAGCAACGACACCACACAGUCUCUAUAAACUUCAGGUACAAAAAUGCUCACCUGCAUAGGUCGAAGGGACGCUUUUGUUUACUUUUUAACCAGUCCCUCCCUAUUUAUAGUCCCAGAGCGGGGGCAAUACGGACCUCGAUCAUGAAAAAUAAAGCUAUAUUUUUUGCAUGGACUAGGUGACUAGUGCGUAAGAUAUAAUGCAAAGUCAACAUGAGUUGAGUAUAUUAAAUCUUUAUUAAUUAAUAUCCCAUAGUU